UCCAAACAUAUCAAAAAUCUCAAAAAUCCCAUUAGAAGACAAGCCCUCGUCAUCAGCUGUGGAGAUCAAAUUAGAAAGUUAGAUAAUGAAGGGGUGAUGUGAGCUUUGGAUCUUCUAAUUUGUCUCUUUAUUUGCAUUUGUGUUUUACUGUGUUGUAUGUUUGUAAAAAUGUGUUGGAUUUGUAUUAUGUUGAAAAUGCACGAAAAUUUAGAUAUAACUCUACUUUGAAGUUAUGUAAUUAUAUUCAAUAUUGUACACAAAAUACAAUAAUUGCGUGGCGCUUGUGUGUGCUACUUAUUUUGUU